AGUGAACGCUGGCGGCAGGCCUAACACAUGCAAGUCGAACGGCAGCACAGUAAGAGUUUGCUCUUACGGGUGGCGAGUCGCGGACGUGUGACGAAUAUAUCGGACCCUUCUCUUUCGUGGGGGAUAACGUAGGGAAACUUACGCUAAUACCGCAUAUGCUCUACCGGGGAAAGCAGUGGAUCGUCUGAGCUUGCGGGAAUGAACUAGCGGAUGCUGGAUUAGUUAGUUGGGUGGGUAAAGGCCCACCAAGGCGACGAUCCGUAGCCGAUCUGAGAGGAUGAUCGGCCACACUGGAACUGAGACACGGUCCAGACUCCUACGGGAGGCAGCAGUAGGGAAUAUUGGGCAAUGGGCGCAAGCCUGACACAGCCAUACCGCGUGAGUGAAGAAGGCCUUCGGGUUGUAAAGCCCUUUUGUUGGGGAAGAACAGCUGCAGAUUAAGACCCCGCUGUACUGACGGUACCCAAUGAAUAAGCACCGGCUAACUACGUG
rnacentral:rRNA from 1 species